rnacentral:rRNA from 1 species
CCUACGGGUGGCAGCAGUGAGGAAUAUUGGUCAAUGGACGAGAGUCUGAACCAGCCAAGUAGCGUGAAGGAUGACUGCCCUAUGGGUUGUAACCUUCUUUUAUAAAGGAAUAAAACGAGGCACGUGUGCCUUUUUGCAUGUACUUUAUGAAUAAGGAUCGGCUAACUCCGUGCCAGCAGCCGCGGUAAUACGGAGGAUCCGAGAGUUAUCCGGAUUUAUUGGGUGUAAAGGGAGCGUAGAUGGGUUGUUAAGUCAGUUGUGAAAGUUUGCGGCUCAACCGUAAAAUUGCAAUUGAUACUGGCAGUCUGGAGUACAGGUGAGGUAGGCGGAAUUCGUGGUGUAGCGGUGAAAUGCUUAGAUAUCACGAAGAACCCCGAUUGCGAAGGCAGCUUACUAAACUGUGACUGACAUUGAUGCUCGAAAGUGUGGGUAUCAAACAGGAUUAGAUACCCCUGUAGUC